rnacentral:lncRNA from 1 species
GCGGCCCGGGUUCGAUCCUCAGCACCACGUACAAAGAUGUUGUGUCUGCCGAAAACUAAAAAAAUAAAUAUUUAAAAAUUCUCUCUCCCUCUAAAAAAAAAUAAAAUAGAUUAAGAGGCUAAGGAGGUAGCGAGAUAUUGGAAUACCAUGUUUCCAUGAUAGACUCUUUCCUCACUUAUUUCCCCUCCUCUCUGCCCCUUUGUCUCUACUUCUCUUCAACUCUCCCUUUCCCUGCCUCACAACUCUUUUCUGUCACCUUCAUUCUCCUCUUCUUUCUCCUUCACGGGAUACGGGCCUUCAUUGAGUUGACAUUGGCCAGCUUCCAGUUACAUCGCCUGUAUUUCCUGUUGUGCAAAAGGGAGAUAAUAAUAGUACCUAUGUCAUAUAAACAUCACCAAGACAGAAUUAUUUGGAACAGUGCUUGGCCUACAAUAAGCUCUCAGUUUAAGUUAGUUAUUAUUCCAAUAAGCUUUGCUAAACAUUGUGGCCUACUAAGUUUGGAUGUGCUUGGCAUGAUAAGGAAAGCACUAUAGCAUAAUGUUAUUUGAUGGCUAGAGAUGAUUGGGGACCAGGAGUCAUUAUCUGAAGUGAAAUAACUAACUGAAGUGGCACAAUGAUGACUAGAACAGUUAUGGGACCUGUAAACAUUUCUCAAAAACAAACUAUCAGGGGAGAAAAACCAUAUAAAGGAUCUGAAGUCCACAGUCAUGCUGAGUCAGAGUCCAUCAGACUCUUAG